rnacentral:rRNA from 1 species
UACAGAGACUGCGAGCGUUAUUCGGAUUCACUGGGCGUAAAGGGUGCGCAGGCGGCCGUGUGUGUAAGGUGUGAAAUCCCGGGGCUCAACCCCGGAACUGCGCCUUAAACUACAUGGCUAGAGUUUUGGAGAGGGUAGUGGAAUUCACGGUGUAGCAGUGAAAUGCGUAGAUAUCGUGAGGAACACCAGAGGCGAAGGCGACUACCUGGACAAUUACUGACGCUCAGGCACGAAAGCGUGGGGAGCAAAA